rnacentral:lncRNA from 1 species
AUCUACAAAAUACUAAUUAUACUCUUGUAUAUAUAGUUCUCAUGGAAUCCUUAAAAGUAAAUAAUACAAGUAAUGAGGCGGCUCUAUAAAAAUUCCUAAACAAUUAAUAUUAUUUGCUCUCAACUUUGCCAUAAAAUCUGCACAUUGAUUAUCUUCUCUCUAAGUAUGCUAAAAUGAAAUAGUCCAAUUUCUAAAAAUAUAUUCUUUUAUAGUGUUUACAAUAUAAGCAUAUUUUUGAGGUAGAGGUGUUGAGUCUUGAAUCAAAUAUAAUGCUUUCAUACAGUCAGAUCUACAACUCACGUUUCUUUAACCAGAAUUUCAAGCUACCAUCAAUCCAUUCGAUAUGGCUAAUAAUUGAGCUCUUGGGUUGUCAACAAAAUCAACAUGUCCACUAAACCCUAACAACCACAAUCAUGUGGUCUCUUAUUAGACCUCCAUAGUCCGUCCUACCAGGAUUUCCAUAAGAAUUUCCAUCGACAUCUAAUGCAAUUUGAUGUUUAGAAGGUGGACCCCAAACAACAAACUGCACCACAUCAAAUGAAUCUUAAUUAAUUAAAGAGAAAACAUAAAUUUAUCUGAUAUCAUUAUUAAAGACAAAACAUUAAUUCAUACGAAAGCAACUUAUUCUAAAA